rnacentral:rRNA from 1 species
AACGUACGCUGGCGGCACGCCUAACACAUGCAAGUCGAACGAAGUAGCAAUACUUAGUGGCAGACGGGUGAGUAACAUGUAGGUAUCUGCCCUUUGGCCUGGAAUAACACGAGGAAACUUGUGCUAAUACCGGAUAAGUCUUUACGGAGAAAGCUUUAUGCACCAUUGGAUGAGCCUGCACUUGAUUAGUUUGUUGGUGGGGUAAUGGCCUACCAAGACUGUGAUCAAUAGCUGAUUUGAGAGGAUGAUCAGCCACAUUGGGACUGAGACACGGCCCAAACUCCUACGGGAGGCAGCAGUGGGGAAUCUUGCACAAUGGAGGAAACUCUGAUGCAGCGAUGCCGCGUGAGUGAAGAAGGCCCUUGGGUUGUAAAGCUCUUUCGUCGGGGAAGAAAAUGACUGUACCCGAAUAAGAAGGUCCGGCUAACUUCGUGCCAGCAGCCGCGGUAAUACGAAGGGACCUAGCGUAGUUCGGAAUUACUGGGCUUAAAGAGUUCGUAGGUGGUUGAAAAAGUUAGUGGUGAAAUCCCAGAGCUUAACUCUGGAACUGCCAUUAAAACUUUUCAGCUAGAGUAUGAUAGAGGAAAGCAGAAUUUCUAGUGUAGAGGUGAAAUUCGUAGAUAUUAGAAAGAAUACCAAUUGCGAAGGCAGCUUUCUGGAUCAUUACUGACACUGAGGAACGAAAGCAUGGGUAGCGAAGAGGAUUAGAUACCCUCGUAGUCCAUGCCGUAAACGAUGUGUGUUAGACGUUGGAAAUUUAUUUUCAGUGUCGCAGGGAAACCGAUAAACACACCGCCUGGGGAGUACGACCGCAAGGUUAAAACUCAAAUGAAUUGACGGGGACCCGCACAAGUAGUGGAGCAUGUGGUUUAAUUCGAAGAUACGCGCAGAACCUUACCAACACUUGACAUGUUCGUCGCGACUCUAAGAGAUUAGAGUUUUCGGUUCGGCCGGACGAAACACAGGUGCUGCAUGGCUGUCGUCAGCUCGUGUCGUGAGAUGUUGGGUUAAGUCCCGCAACGAGCGCAGCCCUCACUUUUAGUUGCCAUCAUUAAGUUGGGCACUCUGAAAGAACUGCCAGUGAUAAGCUGGAGGAAGGUGGGGAUGACGUCAAGUCCUCAUGGCCCUUACGUGUUGGGCUACACACGUGCUACAAUGGUAUCUACAACAGGAAGCAAGACUGCGAAGUUAAGCAAAUCCCUAAAAGAUACCUCAGUUCGGAUUGCACUCUGCAACUCGAGUGCAUGAAGCUGGAAUUGCUAGUAAUCGUGGAUCAGCGUGCCACGGUGAAUGCGUUCCCGGGUCU